UAUUUUAUAUAAUAACAUUAUCAAAAGCACAAACAAAAAUGAUAUUAAUGUUAGAAAUGAAGUUAAAAUUAUUUAAUAAUUCUUGUUUUGUUUUCAGACCAAAGAAUACUCUGCUAUCGGUUUCAAGUUCAUUGUUAAGAUAAGAAAUGUAAAAUUUUACAAUAAUGUAAAAUAAGUACGAUAACAGAGAGCUUCAGGACUUGUUGUUGACAAUGAUUCUGAUAUAACAUUGUCUUUGGAUUCAUUUUGUCUUGUCCGCCAAUAGUUCGUUAUCUUUGAU
rnacentral:lncRNA from 1 species